GACGAACGCUGGCGGCGUGCUUAACACAUGCAAGUCGAACGAUGAAGAAGAGAAACGCGAACUUCGGUUCAAAUUUCACUUCGGAUUAGUGGCAGACGGGUGAGUAACGCGUGAGCAACCUACCUCUUACAAAGGGAUAGCCUCGGGAAACCGUGAUUAAUACCAUAUGACACAUUCAUAAGGCAUCUUAAGAAUGUUAAAGCUACGGCGGUAAGAGAUGGGCUCGCGUCCCAUUAGCUAGUUGGUGAGGUAACGGCCCACCAAGGCGACGAUGGGUAACCGGGCUGAGAGGGUGAACGGUCACAUUGGAACUGAGACACGGUCCAAACUCCUACGGGAGGCAGCAGUGGGGAAUAGUGCACAAUGGAGGGAACUCUGAUGCAGCGACGCCGCGUGAGCGAUGAAGGAAUUCGUUUCGUAAAGCUCUGUUCUAUGGGAAGAAAAGGACUGUACCAUAGGAGAAAGCCCCGGCUAAAUACGUG
rnacentral:rRNA from 1 species